rnacentral:rRNA from 1 species
GAAUUUUGGACAAUGGGCGAAAGCCUGUUCCAGCAAUGCCGCGUGCAGGAUGUAGGCCUUCGGGUUGUAAACUGCUUUUGUACGGAACGAAAAGCUUUGGGUUAAUACCCUGGGGUCCUGACGGUACCGUAAGACUAAGCACCGGCCAACUACGUGCCAGACGCCGCGGUAAUACGUAGGGUGCAAGCGUUAAUCGGAAUUACUGGGCGUAAAGCGUGCGCAGGCGGUUUUGUAAGACAGAGGUGAAAUCCCCGGGCUCAACCUGGGAACUGCCUUUGUGACUGCAAGGCGAGAGUACGGCAGAGGGGGGGGGAAUUCCGCGUGUAGCAGUGAAAUGCGUAGAUAUGCGGAGGAACACCGAUGGCGAAGGCAACCCCCUGGGCCUGUACUGACGCUAAGGCACGAAAGCGUGGGGAGCAAACA